rnacentral:tRNA from 1 species
GAGGAUAUAGCUCAAGUGGUAGAGCGCAUGCUUAGCAUGCACAAGGUCCUGGGUUCAAUCCCUGGUAUCUCCU